rnacentral:tRNA from 1 species
GAAAGAUUUAGUUAAACUAUAACAUUAAUUUGUCAAAUUAAAAUUAUUAAUUUUAAUAAUCUUU